UCAGAUUGAACGCUGGCGGCAGGCUUAACACAUGCAAGUCGAGCGGGGGAGGUUGCUUCGGUAACUGACCUAGCGGCGGACGGGUGAGUAAUACUUAGGAAUCUGCCUAUUAAUGGGGGACAACAUCUCGAAAGGGAUGCUAAUACCGCAUACGCCCUACGGGGGAAAGCAGGGGAUCACUUGUGACCUUGCGUUAAUAGAUGAGCCUAAGUCGGAUUAGCUAGUUGGUGGGGUAAAGGCCUACCAAGGCGACGAUCUGUAGCGGGUCUGAGAGGAUGAUCCGCCACACUGGGACUGAGACACGGCCCAGACUCCUACGGGAGGCAGCAGUGGGGAAUAUUGGACAAUGGGGGGAACCCUGAUCCAGCCAUGCCGCGUGUGUGAAGAAGGCCUUAUGGUUGUAAAGCACUUUAAGCGAGGAGGAGGCUCUCUUGGUUAAUACCCAAGAUGAGUGGACGUUACUCGCAGAAUAAGCACCGGCUAACUCUGUGCCAGCAGCCGCGGUAAUACAGAGGGUGCGAGCGUUAAUCGGAUUUACUGGGCGUAAAGCGUGCGUAGGCGGCUUUUUAAGUCGGAUGUGAAAUCCCCGAGCUUAACUUGGGAAUUGCAUUCGAUACUGGGAAGCUAGAGUAUGGGAGAGGAUGGUAGAAUUCCAGGUGUAGCGGUGAAAUGCGUAGAGAUCUGGAGGAAUACCGAUGGCGAAGGCAGCCAUCUGGCCUAAUAC
rnacentral:rRNA from 1 species